rnacentral:rRNA from 1 species
GCGCUGAAACGCUCAUCUGAAGGAGGAUUUAGCAGUAAGCAGGAAGUAGAGCGUCCCGCUGAAACUGGCCCUGAAGCGCGUACACACCGCCCGUCACUCUCCCCAAAAACAUCUUUACACUAUUAAAUAAAGCCUGAUAAUCGAAAGGGGAGGCAAGUCGUAACAUGGUAAGUGUACUGGAAGGUGCACUUGGAAAAAUC